GACGAACGCUGGCGGCGUGCUUAACACAUGCAAGUCGAACGGAAAGGCCCUGCUUUUGUGGGGUGCUCGAGUGGCGAACGGGUGAGUAACACGUGAGUAACCUGCCCUUGACUUUGGGAUAACUUCAGGAAACUGGGGCUAAUACCGGAUAGGAGCUCCUGCUGCAUGGUGGGGGUUGGAAAGUUUCGGCGGUUGGGGAUGGACUCGCGGCUUAUCAGCUUGUUGGUGGGGUAGUGGCUUACCAAGGCUUUGACGGGUAGCCGGCCUGAGAGGGUGACCGGCCACAUUGGGACUGAGAUACGGCACAGACUCCUACGGGAGGCAGCAGUGGAGAAUAGUGCACAGUGGGCGGAAGCCUGAUGCAGCAACGCCGCGUGCGGGAUGACGGCCUUCGGGUUGUAAACCGCUUUCGCCUGUGACGAAGCGUGAGUGACGGUAAUGGGUAAAGAAGCACCGGCUAACUACGUG
rnacentral:rRNA from 1 species